rnacentral:rRNA from 1 species
CACGUAGGGUGCGAGCGUUGUCCGGAAUUAUUGGGCGUAAAGAGCUCGUAGGCGGUGUGUCGCGUCGGCCGUGAAAACCUGCAGCUUAACUGUGGGCGUGCGGUCGAUACGGGGCAUCACUGGAGUUCGGCAGGGGAGACUGGAAUUCCUGGUGUAGCGGUGAAAUGCGUAGAUAUCGGGGAGGAACACCCAGUGGCGAAGGCGGCGAUCUGGGAAGAUACUGACGCUGAGGUGCGAAAGCGUGGGGAGCAAACAGG